AGCUCUCCGAGUGGUGUGGAUGUUUAUUGGGCCUAAAGCAUCGUAGCUGGCUAGGUCAGUCCCUUGUUAAAUCCACCGAAUUAAUCGUUGGAUUGCGGGGGAUACUGCUUGGCUAGGGGACGAGAGAGGCAGACGGUAUUUUCGGGGUAGGGGUGAAAUCCUAUAAUCCCGGGAAGACCACCAGUGGCGAAGGCUGUCUGCUAGAACGCGCCCGACGGUGAGGGAUGAAAGCUGGGGGAGCGAACC
rnacentral:rRNA from 1 species